rnacentral:rRNA from 1 species
UACGAAGGGGGCUAGCGUUGUUCGGAAUCACUGGGCGUAAAGCGCACGCAGGCGGAUCGUUAAGUCAGGGGUGAAAUGCCGAGGCUCAACCUCGGAACUGCCUUUGAUACUGGCGAUCUUAGAGUCCGGGAGAGGUGAGUGGAACUCCGAGUGUAGAGGUGAAAUUCGUAGAUAUUCGGAAGAACACCAGUGGCGACGGCGGCUCACUGGCCCGGUACUGACGCUCAGGUGCGAAAGCGUGGGGAGCAAACAGG